UAUGUUCAUCAGUCUUAUUUUUUAAUAUAGAAGAUCGAAAAUCAUUAAAAACGUAAGUAAUAUAUAGUUAUAUUUUUCAAAGUAAAACAACUCUGUUCAAAAUAUUUGGGGCAGAUUUCAUGCACACUCAGAUGAGUCAUAUUUCAAAUUGGGAAGAAAAAAUUCAAAAAUCAAGAAGAUAUUUUCACUGUGUUCAUUUGCAAUUAUUGAAAAUAAAUUUUUCACCGAGAUGUUAAUUGUUUUUAUCGCGUUUAUAUUAAUUUCAUACGUAUGUUUGUUGUAUAUUUUUGUUGUUUGAGAAUAAAAAUCACAGCAUUUUGUACGAAUCAAGAAAUUUACGGCGUCUGGACAAGACAUUAAAUAUGAAGAUGGAAUAAAAAGUCCCGUAAUGCUAGAUAUGAUUAGAAAUUAUUGUGAAAUGUAUACAUCUGAGAUAUGAUCAGGCGCUUACAAUUUAUUGUUUAGGCAAAAAAAUUAUUUAAAAUUCAAUUUUUAUUCUGUAUUAUCUCAUAAUGUAAAUAAUGAAUUUAUUUAUUCUGUGUGCACAACUGAUGAUAGUAUACGUGAUAUGGCAUAUGACCAAGAUAGUUUUAUAAUAAAAUAUGUCAUAGAUCAAAUAUCUAUUA